CCUCUGGGAAUAUACCAAACUCUCCGUAGCUGCUGGAGUCAUGCUAUGGUUAUCACACUAUCAUUAUCAUUGCCAUUUUUAUUAUCAUUGUCAUUAUGAUUUUCAUUAUCAUUGUCAUUAUCAUUAUCAUUCCUCCGUGGUUGGUUUGCUCGUUUCCACGUCACAAUAAAAAAAAGAAGAAUGAUUAAUGUAUACAAAUACCGUUGGAUUUGAGACCCCAUCAGUACCACUGCCUAAUCCAUUUUAACUAAAGUCACUUGAUCAGUUUUCGUUAUUUUAAUUUUUAUUGUUAACUUUAUAUUAUUUAUACAAUUGUCGUUGGUGUAAUCUUGUCUUAUCUGCUUGUGUU
rnacentral:lncRNA from 1 species